rnacentral:rRNA from 1 species
CCUACGGGUGGCAGCAGUGGGGAAUAUUGCACAAUGGGCGAAAGCCUGAUGCAGCAACGCCGCGUGAGCGAUGAAGGCCUUCGGGUCGUAAAGCUCUGUCCUCAGGAAGAUAAUGACGGUACUUGAGGAGGAAGCCCCGGCUCACUACGUUCCCGGAGCCGCCGUAAUACGUUGGGGGGUAGCGUUAUCCGGAAUUACUGGGGGUAAAGGGGGCGUAGGUGGUUUGUUAGGUCAGAGGUGAAAGGGGACGGUCAAACCGUAGAGAGCGUUUGAAACUGGGAAACUGGAGUGCAGGAGAGGGGAGUGGAAUUCCUAGUGUAGCGGUGAAAUGCGUAGAUAUUAGGAGGAACACCAGUGGCGAAGGCGGCUCUCUGGACUGUAACUGACACUGAGGCACGAAAGCGUGGGGAGCAAACAGGAUUAGAUACCCGGGUAGUC